rnacentral:rRNA from 1 species
UACGUAGGGUGCAGGCGUUAAUCGGAAUUACUGGGCGUAAAGCGUGCGCAGGCGGUUUCUUAAGUCAGAUGUGAAAGCCCCGGGCUUAACCUGGGAACUGCGUUUGAAACUGGGAGACUUGAGUGUGGCAGAGGGGGGUGGAAUUCCACGUGUAGCAGUGAAAUGUGUAGAUAUGCGGAGGAACACCGAUGGCGAAGGCAGUCCCCUGGGCCUGUACUGACGCUCAUGCACGAAAGCGUGGGGAGCAAACAGG